rnacentral:rRNA from 1 species
UACGAGGGGUCCUAGCGUUGUUCGGAAUCAUUGGGCGUAAAGGGUGUGUAGGUGGCUAUGUAAGUCAGGUGUGAAAGCCCCGGGCUCAACCCGGGAAGUGCAUCUGAUACUGCGUAGCUUGAGUACCGAAGAGGAUAGUGGAAUUCCAGGUGUAGUGGUGAAAUACGUAGAUAUCAGGAAGAACACCCGUGGCGAAAGCGGCUCUCUGGAACGGUACUGACGCUGAGACGCGAAAGCGUGGGGAGCGAACAGG